CUGCAUGAAGUUGGAAUUGCUAGUAAUCGCGGAUCAGCAUGCCGCGGUGAAUACGUUCCCGGGGAUUGUACACACCGCCCGUCACACCAUGAGAGUCGGGAACACCCAAAGUCCGUAGUCUAACCGCAAGGAGGACGCGGCCUAAGGUGGGUUCGAUAAUUGGGGUGAAGUCGUAACAAGGUAGC
rnacentral:rRNA from 1 species